rnacentral:rRNA from 1 species
AUGCGUGCUAAAAAAGAUUGCUUAAUAAAAGCAUGUUCUUCUAGUUUUCAUGAUAAUAAGGAUGAAGAUCUAAAAGUGAUUGAUGUGUCCCCUAUAAAAUAUUUGUUUUGCAAUAUGAAUCUUGAUAAUGAUGGGACUGGAGAUGAGUCAACUUUAGUUAGAAGGCGUCCCAAAAAUUCGGAGUUUUUAGAUCUUGAUGCAAAAAUUGAUAAAAGUGGGAUUGAAGAGGUCAAAACUUUAGAUAGCAACGAACCCACUAUCUUGGAUUUCAAGGAAUUUAAUUAUGAUAAUUGCUCUUUGAUAGAUUGUAUUUCCUUGUUGCAAUCCGUGCUAAAUUCUCCUCAUGCUUAUAGUCAAAAUAAAGCUUUUACUAAACGUAUCGUUGAUGCUUUGAUGCAAUCUUAUGAAGAAAAACUUGAGUUGGAAGUUUCUAUCCCUAGAAAACUUUAUGAUGAGUGGGAACCUACAAUUAAGAUAAAAAUUAAAGAUCAUAAAUGCUAUGCUUUGUGUGAUUUGGGUGCUAGUGUUUCCACGAUCCCAAAAACUUUGUGUGAUUUGCUAGGUUCAUGA